CGAUCCGUAUAUACGUUCACACUGUUCUAAGGGUGCUUUCAAAAUUAUCUAAUUCGAUGUUUUUACGUAUAGACUUAUCUAUAUUCGAUAUUUGGUAAUUUGGUACAUCAAAGUAGAGCUAAACGUAAUAAAAGGUAAUAAUUCACGAUCUAAAUUUAAAAAACUAAUUCGGAACGCUUUAAAGCAAAGUUACGCAAAUCGAAUCAUCGGUGCUCAUACUCGCGCCUAAGCGUAACAUCAUCGGCCUUGUCAAAAUGAGAGAAAAUUGGUACGAAUCACUGGUUCCUCUGGAGAAAAAAUGGAAAGUCGUAAGGUGGAAACGUUUCUUGCGCGGAAGAUUCUAGGAGAAGACGUUAAAAAGUCGACGACGAUGUCGACGCAAAGUCCUUGACUUUGGCUUCUCUGCGCCCUCGAGAUUGAUGUCAGCGACCUAUUCCCCAGCUGCCCUAGUCUCGUUUCUUUGGACGAGGAUUCAAAGUGGAACCCUUCGUGAAGGCACCCUUCUUAUUUUCGUAUUACCACUUUGCGACGACGGGAUUUCGUUGGUUCUGCGAGGAGUCAUUAUCGGGACGCCUGACUCGCCGUAAUUACAGGCUUUUUGCGUGCCGACGAAUUUUUAUUACGCCCCCUGACUGCCGCUCGACAUGAGUCUCAUUUCCUUUUUUCUUCUCGACUCGUUCGAUUCGUACAUUUUCGUGACAAGCGAUUCCUCGAAACCACCCAUUACACUUAUGGACAAUUACAAGAAAGCCAAAUAUCGAAUAUCAGUUAUCGUUGAAGAGAAAUGAAUAACACGAUGCUUAUACAACUACAAAGUUCUAUUCGACCGACUUUUAAAAGCGUUCCGACUUAUUAUUAUUAAUAAAAGUAUAUAUACAUAGCUAUAUUCGUAAAUGAAUAGAAACUUUUUCCAUUUAGCUUCUCGACAGCGUCAUUUUUCUAGAACUCGUAAACGACUACCCGUAUCGUCUUAUCGUCGACUAGCAUCUACCCUUCCUCAAAGUCUCUUUCGCGAAGCUCUUUCCCUGCGAAGGACAGGUCCUCCCUCGUCGUUGGGCACAAUCUAUUAGCCGGUUUUUUUCACGAUUAAUACCUCCGUCCGGAGCACGUCGAUCAAACGCGAUACGCCGACGGAACUCAUUUCGUGGCACCUGCUUCGCGUGCCCUUAUCCUUUCGGGCGAAAUACUCGAGCCUACGAGGGAUUUAGGCGCAUCUAACGUAAACAGGAUCCUUUCUUCUUCUUUCCCUCGUAUUCGGCUCAAUAGCGUCUGUUUUAGAUGAAAUUCUGUAUCAAAGCGAACGUAUUCUAGUUCGUAAACUGGAGACCCCAUUUUAUGGAGAUCGUGCGAACCAACCGAUACCGAGUGUUCCGGAUGAGAUUGAAAAAAAAAAGUUUUCACCAAAAAGUACGCAUGCAAAUUGCGCCGAAUUUUGGCGGGUGAUUUUAUUUUCCGGCCCUUCUCCGUUAGGGAGAGAACCGGAACGAUGAAUCGGAGCACCCCCGCUGGCUGUGAUCGAGGGUCGCGAAACAUGCAAAAAGGCGGGAGGAAAGGAAAAUGGGAGGGGUAGCAUAAAACGUGGCUCAUCGAGGGUUCUCAAAAACGUUACCACCCCAGUCAUUACUCCGGCAUUAACGAGGGAUGAUUUUGCCUCUAUCCUUCGCGGAUUCGUCGCUUUAUCGAGUGACAGAGACUCACCGGGCAUUUUCGCCAGUUCUUCGCUGGAGGGGAGUUCGGUCUAUGCGGACAAAAAAAAAAAAAGAAGAAAGAAAAAGCGGAUUUUCCAAUGGGACGAGCAAAGUUCGUUCUAAAAAAGAAAAAUGAAACAUUCGUAAUACGCAUAGUCGAAGAAAGAACAAAGGAAAGAAACAAUUUGGCAACGCUUGGGCCAACUGGUCGCUUCGUGCCCGGAAACCACAGCAGCUGCGAGCCAUGCAACGGUAGAAAGGCGUACAACGCGAAUUCGAGAAGAUCGAGUUCGUUCUUCUAUUUCUGAUGCGAGUUCGAGAGGCAAUGGGACAAAGUGCGUUCGACGGAUCGUUGACCGACACGGUAAAAAGAUAGCUGUUGCACAAUCGGACAUCGAAGCAGAGUCCUUGGACUCCAUUCUGGAUGACGGAGAGACGGUCGUCGUGUUCUUUCGACGAUCCUCUUACUCCUUUGAACGAUCUCAGUGAAAGGCUGCGAUAAUGGCGCUGCGAAGCGAAUCGAGUCCACCAAGAUCCAUCUGUGACUUCCUUCUUUAGCGUGAAACUCUUUUCCGAUAAUAAAGUCCACUAUAGGCAGUGCUUCCUAACCUUUUGGCCAAGAAGAUUUU